UGAAUACGAGACGCUAAGGCGUCGAAGUAGUGUAUGUCAUACUUCCAAGAAAAGCUUGCACUAUCAUAGAUAAAAAACGCCUGUACCAUAACCGACACAGGUGGGUAGGUAGAGUAUACUAAGGGGCGCGAGAUAACUCUCUCUAAGGAACUCGGCAAAAUAACUCCGUAACUUCGGGAGAAGGAGUGCCUUAUUCUUAAGGUUGCAAUAACAAGAUCCAAGCAACUGUUUAUCAAAAACACAGGUCUCCGCUAAGUCGUAAGACGAUGUAUGGGGGCUGACGCCUGCCCAGUGCCAGAAGGUUAAAGAAGCUGGUUAGCAUUUGCGAAGCUAGUAACUGAAGCCCUGGUGAACGGCGGCCGUAACGAUAACGGUCCUAAGGUAGCGAAAUUCCUUGUCGGGUGAGUUCCGACCCGCACGAAAGGCGUAAUGAUUUGGAUACUGUCUCGGAGAGGGGCUCGGUGAAAUAGACUUGUCUGUGAAGAUGCGGACUACCUGCACCAGGACAGAAAGACCCUAUGAAGCUUUACUGUAACUUGAAAUUGAAAUUGGACUUUAUUCGCGCAGUAUAGGUGGGAGGCGUUGAUUAUAAUCUUGCGGGAUUAUUGGAGCCAUUAGUGAGAUACCACUCUUGUAAUGUUAGAUUUCUAACUUUGAAUCAUUAUCUGGUCAAAGAACAGUUUCAGGCGGGCAGUUUGACUUGGGCGGUCGCCUCCUAAACGGUAACGGAGGCGUACAAAGGUUUCCUCUGAACGGUUAGAAAUCGUAUCUAGAGUGUAAAGGCAUAAGGGAGCUUGACUGUGAGACCUACAAGUCGAGCAGGGACGAAAGUCGGUCUUAGUGAUCUGACGGUACUGAGUGGAAAGGCCGUCACUCAACGGAUAAAAGUUACUCUAGGAUAACAGGCUGAUCUCCCCCAAGAGUUCACAUCGACGGGGAGGUUUGGCACCUCGAUGUCGGCUCAUCGCAUCCUGGGGCGGUAGUACGUCCCAAGGGUUGGGCUGUUCGCCCAUGAAAGCGGUACGCGAGCUGGGUUCAGAACGUCGUGAGACAGUUCGGUCCAUAUCCGGUGUAGGCGUUAGAAUAUUGAGAGGAGCCUUCUUUAGUACGAGAGGACCGAGAAGGACAUACCUCUGGUGUACCAGUUAUCGUGCCAACGGUAAACGCUGGGUAGCUAUGUAUGGAGUGGGUAACCGCUGAAAGCAUCUAAGUGGGAAGCCCACCUCGAGAUAAGUAUUCCC
rnacentral:rRNA from 1 species